GAUGAAGAACGUAGCGAAAUGCGAUACUUGGUGUGAAUUACAGAAUCCCGUGAACCAUCGAGUCUUUGAACGCAAGUUGCGCCCGAAGCCAUUAGGCCGAGGGCACGCCUGCCUGGGCGUCACACGUCGUUGCCCCCCCAUCUACUCCUUCGGGAUUGCGGGGGGCGGAUGAUGGCCUCCCGUGCGCCUCGUCGCGCGGUUGGCCUAAAUGCCAAGUCCUCGGCGACGCACGCCACGACAAUCGGUGGUUGCGAAACCUCGGUUGCCUGUCGUGUGCGGUCGUCGCGCAUCGAGGGCUCGAAAAAAUUGCCGGGCUUCGGCUCGACUUUCAACGCGACCCCAGGUCAGGCGGGGUUACCCGCUGAAUUUAAGCAUAUCAAUAAGCGGAGGA
rnacentral:misc_RNA from 1 species